UAGGGAAUCUUCCACAAUGGACGAAAGUCUGAUGGAGCAACGCUGCGUGAGUGAAGAAGGGUUUCGGCUCGUAAAACUCUGUUGUUAAAGAAGAACAUAUCUGAGAGUAACUGUUCAGGUAUUGACGGUAUUUAACCAGAAAGCCACGGCUAACUACGUGUCCAG
rnacentral:rRNA from 1 species